rnacentral:rRNA from 1 species
UACGUAGGGGGCUAGCGUUGUCCGGAUUUAUUGGGCGUAAAGAGCGUGUAGGCGGCCAGGUAGGUCCGUUGUGAAAACUCGAGGCUCAACCUCGAGACGUCGGCGGAAACCCUCUGGCUAGAGUCCGGAAGAGGAGAGUGGAAUUCCUGGUGUAGCGGUGAAAUGCGCAGAUAUCAGGAGGAACACCGGUGGCGAAGGCGGUUCUCUGGGCCUUACCUGACGCUGAGGAGCGAAAGCGUGGGGAGCGAACAGG